rnacentral:rRNA from 1 species
UACGUAGGGUGCAAGCGUUGUCCGGAAUUAUUGGGCGUAAAGGGCUCGUAGGCGGUCCAUCGCGUCGGGAGUGAAAAGCUGGGGCUCAACCCCAGUCCUGCUUUCGAUACGGGUGGACUAGAGGUAGGCAGGGGAGAACGGAAUUCCUGGUGUAGCGGUGAAAUGCGCAGAUAUCAGGAGGAACACCGGUGGCGAAGGCGGCUCACUGGCUCAUUACUGACGCUCAGGCGCGACAGCGUGGGGAUCAAACAGG